AUGAAGGGAACAACAACUCCUGCAAAGGGAAGGACGGCCAGGAGCUCAGCCCUGGGGAAGGCUGGAAGAGAAACUGGAAGGGGGGUGCAGCUACAGCUACUUUGGUUGUGCACAGGGAUGUGUCCAGUUGGAGGGUCAGCUUGGACAUCAGCCCAUCUCUCAAGGACCCAGCUCUCAAGGACAGAGCAGGAAACUGGAGCAGGACAGCAGCUCCUACCUGGCACCUAUCCCCACCACAUCUCUAUCAGCUCUUCCUCUAAGAGCGAGUCCUGCUCCCUGGUAGAGGCUGGGCAUUGCUUGCUCAGUAAUGCUGGGCAACUACUGGGUUUUAUUCCUUCACAUCUGUUCUUUCCUCCCCUAUUCUUCCUUUUAGGGAAGGGUCAAGAAAGCAAACUCUAGAAAGCGUUUGAAACCUGCCAGCCCCUUGGAGGCUGGAACAUUUUCCACUCGCAGGAAUGUUACUGGUUUAAGGCUAUAUGGCAAAUUGCUCAUUUAAAGCGAAGCUCGUGAAAUGUUAAUGUGUCCGUAUCCCUGCUAAGGCUGCAGGAUACUUUGGCUGCUGGUGAAAGUUUAAUCGUCCAAGCUAAAGUGAACAAUUUAGCUGAACAGUUGGUUUCAUGCUUCACUUACUGAACCACUCCGAGCCGCGAGGCUCCCCGUUAGCUGUGCUGGACACCGCUUGCUCUCCACGCGUGCCACUUGUGCCUGCUGCUCAGAUUCCUGUGUGCGCUGUUAAAUCGGCACUGCGAGGGACUAAGGUGGACAAGCCGACAGCUGGGAACUUCAGUCACUGCCCCAACAGCUGGCACUCACGGGAAGCGCCACGAUCUCUGCGGGUUGCCAGCAGAGGCGGCUCUGCCGAGGGCUGCUCGCUGGGGCUGGCUGGAGGCUCCAUCACUCGCACAGCUCUCCCGCUUUUGCUCCUUGGAUGAGAAGUUAUUUUUGGCUCUGUUUUGCUAUAUUAAAUAUUAGCUCUAGGCUUUCCCCUAUGUGCUGCGUAAUCCUGUUCUGUAUGGGUUUUUAUAUAUUGUUCUUUUGACAUUAUCACUAUUGCGUAUUAAUAAAUUAAACUUUCAAUUCA
rnacentral:lncRNA from 1 species